UUUCCGUAGGUGAACCUGCGGAAGGAUCAUUACAGAGUUCAUGCCCUCACGGGUAGGUCUCCCACCCUUGAAUAUUUAUACCUUAGUUGCUUUGGCAGGCCGUGGAAACACCAUGGGCUCCGGCUUAUGCGUGCCUGCCAGAGGAAACAAACUCUGUUUUUAGUGAUGUCUGAGUACUAUAUAAUAGUUAAAACUCUCAACAACGGAUCUCUUGGUUCUG
rnacentral:misc_RNA from 1 species